UUAUUUCUGGGUCGGGCUGUUUGGGGUCGUCCGAUGUGUUUUCGUUUGAGAAUGUGCAGACUGUUUUGUUGAGCGCUAUGUCUUGUUCUAUUUUAUUUUUUAGUUUGUUUGUUUCGGCGAUGAUAAUUCUGUUUAAUUGUUCUCGGCCCAUGUGUUCGUUUUGUGUGUGAGUUUUGGCAAAGUGGGUGCCGAUAAUGUCUAGUUUUUCCGUUGUUUUUGAUAUUAUGAAGUUAUCCUCGGUGUCUUUGUUGGUGUUGUGUAUCUCGAUGCCUGCUUCUUGGAUGAGGGAGGCUUUUUCUGGGGCGGGAUGGAGUUUUGCUCCUUUGGUCUGAAAAUUUGAUUUAUCUGCGGGAACAUGCUGGCAGAGUCGUUUUUGGAGAUAUUUUUCAUUUUGUUUAUCCAGUAUUGAUUUAUAGAGUUUGUAAAUUCUUGUUUCGUUUGCGAUUUUAUUUUGUAUAGUAGGUACUUUAGGAAUUCUAAAUCUUCUCUUUUGUCGUAAGAAUAGUUGUAUUUUAUAUUGUUUAAUUUGGAUAGUAUGUAGGU
rnacentral:misc_RNA from 1 species